GAGUAACACGUAGGUGACCUGCCCCGGGGGCGGGGAUACGGCUGGAAACGGCUGCUAAUACCCGAUGAUNUCACGAGCGUCAGAGGGCGCGUGAGGAAAGGUGGAUCGCGAGGUUCACCGCCCUGGGAGGGGCCUGCGGCCAUCAGCUAGCUGGGAGGGUACGGCUACCAGGGCGAAGACGGGUAGGGGGCCUGAGAGGGUGGUCCCCCACACGGGCACUGAGACACGGGCCCGACUCCUACGGGAGGCAGCAGUAAGGAAUAUUGCACAAUGGGCGGAAGCCUGAUGCAGCAACGCCGCGUGCGCGAGGAAGGCCUUCGGGUCGUAAAGCGCUUUUCUGGCUGAGGAGGAAGGACCGUAAGCCAGGGAAGAAGAGUCGGCUAACUACGUGCCAGCAGCCCCGGUAAAACGUAGGACUCAAGCGUUAUCCGGAGUUACUGGGCGUAAAGGGCGAGCAGGCGGGUGGGCAAGUCUGACGUGAAAGCUCCUGGCUAAACCGGGAGAGGCCGUUGGGGACUGUCGACCUGGAGGGCAGCCGAGGGACGUGGAAUUCCGGGUGGAGUGGUGAAAUGCGUAGAGAUCCGGAGGAACACCAGAGGCGAAGGCGGCGUCCUGGGCUGCACCUGACGCUGAGCCGCGAAAGCCAGGGGAGCGAACGGGAUUAGACACCCCGGUAGUCCUGGCCGUAAACGAUGUCGACUGGGUGUUGGGGGGAAGACCUUCAGCGCCGAAGCUAACGCGGUAAGUCGACCGCCUGGGGAGUACGGCCGCAAGGCUAAAACUCAAAGGAAUUGACGGGGGCCCGCACAAGCAGCGGAGCGUGUGGUUUAAUUCGAGGCAACGCGAAGAACCUUACCCGGGCUUGACAUGGAGGUGGUAGGGAAGGGAAACCGGACCGACCCGCGAGGGAGCCUUCACAGGUGCUGCAUGGCUGUCGUCAGCUCGUGCCGUGAGGUGUUAGGUUAAGUCCUGUAACGAGCGCAACCCUUACCGCCAGUUAUAGGUGUCUGGCGGGACUGCCGGCCACAAGUCGGAGGAAGGUGGGGAUGAAGUCAAGUCAGCAUGGCCUUGAUGUCCGGGGCGACACACACGCUACAAUGGGCGGUACAGAGGGCAGCCAACCCGCGAGGGGGAGCGAAUCUCACAAAGCCGCUCGUAGUUCGGAUUGCAGGCU
rnacentral:rRNA from 1 species